rnacentral:lncRNA from 1 species
AAUUGAGAGAGAGCAUUCAUUUGCUCCUCUCAUUCUCUCUCUUCAUCUGGCAAACACCAGAGUUGCUCUGCAACUCUUUCUUCCUUCUCCAUCCCACUCACGGCCGAACCUGCUAGAGAAGACGGUGGCGGUCGGCCAAUCGCGGCGGCGCCGCCUUCUUCUCCGGCGACGUCAACCCUAAACCAAAAAAACCAAACACAUACCCCACCUAUUUUUUGCUCCUGAAUCCAAAUCUGAACUUGUUUCUCUCAAAAUCUGCUUCAAUCAACCGGAUCGAUACUCCCAAAAGAAAAACACAAACCUAAACCCUAACUCAAAUUAACUCUCACGCCCAAACGAAUCCUAACUCACUCUAACCACAACAAUAGGCAAACACGUGGAAAAAAAACCUAACCCUAAGUUGUGAAAUUCGUUCCUCUAAAGUCACGAUUUGAAGAAAUUAUGAAAGGGGUUUCAAUCAACAUGGAGAGGCAAAGACGAUGGUGCGAAAAUUUAAACGGGGAUGAAAGUUUUGCUUGGUCAAGGUUGAUCGUCGGUGAUGCUCCCCUGCUCCGUUUAAGAUAAGUCUUCCUCUAGUUCUUUGUUUGGGAUGCUAUUGUUGCUUUAUUCGAAUGUUAGGGUUUUGAGGUUCAACAAGUUAUUUAUGUUUUCUUCUCCUUCGAUUCUCUUGUUGGAUGGUGUUUUUGUUUUUUUAGGGUUUGGUGUUAAUAGAAAAUAUUUGUGUCUGCUUCCUCCUGGAUUCUCAAAGCCGUGUGUUUUGUUGUUUUUGGUUUGAUGUUAACAAAAAAUAUUUUUGAUAACUUCUUCUUAGAUUUUCCAGACCGUCCUUUUUCUCUACUGUUAAUCUCUGUUUUAUAUCUAUGAUGAUUUUUUUUGGGUUUAGAGAUAACUUGUUAGGUUAUCUCUUUUUCCAGAUUUUGUGGGAUGAUUAUUCUAUGGAUUUAGAGUUGUUUGGAUUGGAUAAUGGAACAUAUUCUUGGGUGUUCACUUUGGUUCACUGUGCAAAAUAUUAAUCCAUUUCAACUUAUUAAUUUAUCUUUCAGUUUCCAUAAGUGCUUAUUUGAUAAGCCUUUUUAAUCUCUGAGUUGGUUUUACAGGUUUGUGAAAAGGUGAAUAGAUGUUGAUUGAGAUGGAUUUGGGGCUCUGUAAUUUCAACAGAUGUUUUGGAAAAGUCUUUGAAAGUUUGCUGCUCAACCUGCUGAGUUUACAACUGUAUUAAAAAAAAAUUAAAAGUUAUUUCUGAUGUAACAGAACUUUUGGAUAAAGUGUAUUUGGAUCAUGUAUUGGCUGUUUGUAACAUGUAAAUUAACAAAUGAACUUUUGGAUUAUUAUGUGAAUUUUUGGAUUAUCAUGUGAAUUUUGGAUUAUCAUGUGAAUUUUGGAUUAUUUGGAAUAUUUUGGACUAUUUGGAAUAUUUUUAAACUUUGAAAUUUAUUUGUGCAA